rnacentral:tRNA from 1 species
GGGUAGGUGGCGGAGUGGUCAAUCGCACCAGACUGUAAAUCUGGCGGCUUUAUGCCUUCGGGGGUUCAAAUCCCUCCCUGCCCA